rnacentral:rRNA from 1 species
AUUGAACGCUGGCGGCAGGCCUAACACAUGCAAGUCGAGCGGAGCGGGGGACGGGGACGUGAUGCCUAGGAAUCUGCCUGGUAGUGGUGGAUAACGUUCGGUAAUGGGCACUAUAGCUGCAUCCUAUUAGAUGCGGCUAGGUCCGAUUAGAUAGGUGGUGGGGUAAAGGCCUACCAAGGCGACGAUCCCUAACUGGUCUGAGAGGAGGAUCAGUCACACUGGAACUGAGACACGGUCCAGACUCCUACGGGAGGCAGCAGUGGGGAAUAUUGGACAAUGGGCGAAAGCCUGAUCCAGCCAUGCCGCGUGUGUGAAGAAGGUCUUCGGAUUGUAAAGCACUUUAAGUUGGGAGGCGUUACCAACAGAAUAAGCACCGGCUAACUUCGUGCCAGCAGCCGCGGUAAUAC